GGGGAAUGCAGUGGCUGUGCCGGUGGCGAGGGCUCUUGGAUAUGGGUUGGGGUUGGCCCGCCAAGGUUUAGGGGAUGAUCUUCCGGUUUUUUCUCUGCCUCCGGAUUUCCCGAAACCUGCGGUAAGGUCGUCUGUCACUGUGGAAGGAUGAAAUCUGUUGCUGGUGAGGGGCAGCAUUGCUGUUGGCUGUUUUUAAGUUAUGUUUUGUGC
rnacentral:misc_RNA from 1 species